CAGAUUUGUGAGCUUUCUUUCAGGAAACUGAAAGAUUGGACUUCAUAUUUCACAGCAUUUAUGCUGCCCUCUGGACAUUUUUUUUACUGGAUGAGAUGAAGUGGCUUUUUAAAUAUGAGCUUCUCAUCAAAGCUUGGUGUGAUGAUCUCUUCAAAUACUCCAAGAUAUUGAGGAGAAAUUCAAAGCAGAAACUCUGGAUAUGCUCAGUAGUCUCCUGGAAUACCUUAGUGUCUCCAGCAGCUGAAGGAAAACCCAGGAGAUACCAGCCAGUAAAUGAGAAGUGCAAGCAUUUUCCUUAUAAAUUCACAUCAAACUGUGUCCCUAGAGACUCAACUUCAGGAACACAACUUUUCUUCCAUCACAUUUGUUUGGUUUUUACUUCCUGCUGGGGAAGCUGUGGUACUGGAAGAUGAUGGCUCAUCUCCACAGAUGACAGCAGCGCAGAUUCCAGUCUCUGAAUCUCUCUACCAUUCAUAUAUUGCAGUUACUGAAGAUUUGACUCUCAUGCUGUUGAUGAAGAAUAUCAUGUUUCUUGUGUGUAGGUGAGGGGGAUAGAUGUUCACUGUAACCCAUAAGUUAUUUAAUAUUUCUUGUGGUCGUGGAGGAUUAAGUAUAAUGUCUCACUUGGCCUUUUGCAUAUCUAUCUUCCUAGGUAUUUUUCAUGCUUUUCUUAUUUCUGGACAUAAAUAUAAAUAACCAGAAACAAAUAAGACAAGCUUGCCAAAGUAAUAGUGAGUCACAUAGGAGAUUAAACUGUCUUAACAUAGAAAUUAUGUAUUUCUCUCACUUUGAUUGCUAGUGUUUUUUGGUGCCUUGGGAUGAAUUUGUUGGUCUGCUGUGAUACUGUUACUUGGAUUCUACUCUCUAAGCAAGGAAGUUGUUUCAUGUAUGGAAAGCUCUGGCUGUUAUUCUGUGGCUAAUUGUGGUGCUACCCUUGAGCUGUGAACAUACAUGCAAUUAUUAGACCUAAAUUCCCUUAUUCUAAACUAUGUUUUGAAUGUACACACUAAGAAAAACUCUUACAGCUGGUGAGCAGUUAUAUACCCUAUCUUCUCCCUUGCCAAUGUGCUUUGAGAAAAUGUCAUUCUAUACGGAAUGUGGAUCAGCAUAUUUUAGCUCUGAAUAUUCGUACCAUUUUGCAUGCUGUCCAUAUUAAAAGAUAACAAAGGACAGGGGACUGGAAUGUCCUCCUACAUCAGAAAAAGAAUUUUUAUUGAAGAAGGGAAUUGUCUUUGGAAUCUUAAGAGGACAUUUAGCUACCUGUUAAUUCAUGAAGUGGUACUAAGAAUGAUUAUAUUGUAGUAGUAUUAGUAGUAGUUGUGUUAAAUACAAAGAGGAUUAAAUAGCCUGUCCUAAAGCCAGUAGUAUCUUUUGGUAAAUAGCUUCCUGUGAUUGAAUCUCAGUCAAUCUUGUAACAAGAAUGUAGGACUUUUUCACUGCCUUUUCCUCAUGUGUGGGAACUUCUUAUGCUCUAAACAUUACAGUCUGUCUUCUGGUUCACCUCCAUCUUCCCUUUAAUACACUCCUGUAUUUCUAUGUCACUGAAGCAUUCUUCAGUGACUAAAUCAUCCCACACACAAAAUCCCAUCAAGGAAUGGGAAGGCACAACCCAAGGAGACCAUAAGGAUGUUGAGAGCAAUGUAUUGUUUUCAUUUGGAGAAAUACAUUAAAGUGCAGUAAAUAUUUAUGGUUAUGUUGGUCCUUG
rnacentral:lncRNA from 7 species